ACCCUCAGUUUGCGCCCUCAGUCGAAGAGGACGACCUUCCCCGGUAGAGGAGUUCCGCUCUUCGGUCAAGGGUAUACGAGUAGCUGCACUCCCCUCCUAGAACCGCCAAACGAGUUCUCAAAGAAUUAGUGAUUUUUUUGGGCUAUCCAAGU
rnacentral:snRNA from 14 species